UUUCAUUUCUGCCUAUCACUUUCGAUGGUAGGAUAGUGGCCUACCAUGGUAUCAACGGGUAACGGGGAAUUAGGGUUCUAUUCCGGAGAGGGAGCCUGAGAAACGGCUACCACAUCCAAGGAAGGCAGCAGGCGCGCAAAUUACCCAAUCCCGACACGGGGAGGUAGUGACAAUAAAUACUGAUACAGGGCUCUUUUGGGUCUUGUAAUUGGAAUGAGUACAAUUUAAUACCUUAACGAGGAACAAUUGGAGGGCAAGUCUGGUGCCAGCAGCCGCGGUAAUUCCAGCUCCAAUAGCGUAUAUUAAAGUUGUUGCAGUUAAAAAGCUCGUAGUUGAACCUUGGGCCUGGCUGGCCGGUCCGCCUCACCGCGUGUACUGGUCCGGCCGGGCCUUUCCUUCUGGGGAACCGCAUGCCCUUCACUGGGCGUGUGUGGGAACCAGGACUUUUACUUUGAAAAAAUUAGAGUGUUCAAAGCAGGCCUUUGCUCGAAUACAUUAGCAUGGAAUAAUAGAAUAGGACGUGUGGUUCUAUUUUGUUGGUUUCUAGGACCGCCGUAAUGAUUAAUAGGGAUAGUCGGGGGCAUCUGUAUUCAAUUGUCAGAGGUGAAAUUCUUGGAUUUAUUGAAGACAAACUACUGCGAAAGCAUUUGCCAAGGAUGUUUUCAUUAAUCAGUGAACGAAAGUUAGGGGAUCGAAGACGAUCAGAUACCGUCGUAGUCUUAACCAUAAACUAUGCCGACUAGGGAUCGGGGGGUGUUAUCAUUUUGACCUCCUCGGCACCUUACGAGAAAUCAAGUCUUUGGGUUCUGGGGGGAGUAUGGUCGCAAGGCUGAAACUUAAAGAAAUUGACGNAGGNACCACCAGCGUGGAGCUGCG
rnacentral:rRNA from 1 species